rnacentral:rRNA from 1 species
GGAUGAGUUGCGAACGGGUGAGUAACGCGUAGGUAACCUGCCUUGUAGCGGGGGAUAACUAUUGGAAACGAUAGCUAAUACCGCAUAACAAUGGAUGACCCAUGUCAUUUAUUUGAAAGGGGCAAAUGCUCCACUACAAGAUGGACCUGCGUUGUAUUAGCUAGUAGGUGAGGUAACGGCUCACCUAGGCGACGAUACAUAGCCGACCUGAGAGGGUGAUCGGCCACACUGGGACUGCUACACGGCCCAGACUCCUACGGGAGGCAGCAGUAGGGAAUCUUCGGCAAUGGGGGCAACCCUGACCGAGCAACGCCGCGUGAGUGAAGAAGCUUUUCGGAUCGUAAAGCUCUGUUGUAAGUCAAGAACGAGUGUGAGAGUGGAAAGUUCACACUGUGACGGUAGCUUACCAGAAAGGGACGGCUAACUACGUGCCAGCAGCCGCGGUAAUACGUAGGUCCCGAGCGUUGCUCCGGAUUUAUUGGGCG